rnacentral:lncRNA from 1 species
GGCCCUUUCAUCGAUCGAAACAAACAAAACAGUGGAAGUGGUAGAAACAAGAAUGGAAAUAUAUAGCACAAUAUUAAUUCUAUAAUUACGUACAAUGAAAGAAUGAAACAUUUAGAGUAGAAGGAUUGUUUGAAACUGAAGUACAUUGAUAUAUAUACGUUGUAUAUAGUUUAUAAUCAGGGGCACUGAGGAUUGUUCCCAGGCCCACCAUAGUAGAAGUAAGUGCCCCAUUCGUUGCUGUAGUAGCUCUUGAUGUCGUAACAGUUUGUGUUUUCGGCCAAGGUUGAGAUGCUCUGCACAGAACUCAAACUGUUAUCUGUGUCUACGAUCUGAAGGUUCCGGAAGUAGCUUGCUUUGCAUGUUUUUUAACAAUUAUACAGUAAUAAUAAGAUUUACUAACUUAAUGGAUAUUUUUCUGUAAAACAAAAAUUAACUUAAUGGAUAUUAUUUUACAUAACAUGAUAUUAUAUUAAUACAAAAAUUAUUUAUUUUGAAAUAUAUACUAUAAAACAAAUUAAGCAAACCCAGUCUUAUUUAAUUUAUAGAUUAAAUUUGAUUCAAAUAAAUGAUUUUUGUCAAAAUUUUAGAUCAAAUAAGAAUAAGAAUAUAUAAACACGUCCAUGAAUACCCCUAGCAGCUGUGUAUUAAUUGUAGCUACAUAAUUAGAACUGAAUUUAAAUGUUCUCUUCUUUGCCACUAGUACGUUAAAAAAAUGAACAGUAGCAGCAUAAUGGAUUUGGCAUCAAUAGAUAGUUGUACUGACUGAUUUCACCCUCGAGCAAAGCUAUCAGCUGGAUUAGGACAACAAAACUGUUAUUUAUGCGAAUGAUAAUUGAGUUCUAAAAUAAUCUCAUUGACUCAUUAUUAAGAAAACUACCAACAGAAGAGGAUGAUUGUUAUUUUACUUGUUUUUAAUAAUAUAUAGUAAUUUUUAUCAAGAAAAUUGAUAUUUUAGUAUAAAUAUUAUAACUUCAUAUAAACAAGAGUGAGAAGAAUAAAUUUUGUCUAUAUAAUCAUAUAUAGACGAUUUAUAUUUGAUAUCAUGUAAUCUUUUAAAGUCAAAUUACAUUUUAAAAACUCAUAGAAGUUGUCUUUUAAUCGUGAUAUAUUAUUUAUACUGAAAUCGGUCAAUAUUUUUUCCUUAAACUUUUGGGUAAAAAAAAAAUUCCUUUCACCAUUUCCUAUAUCUAUACACUAGUAAUUUAUUUCUGUUAGAUAAUUGAAGGUUGUAUGGACAAAAUUCCUUUCUGCCAGCUUGAUUCAACAUAUUCACGAUCGGUCUUAAUUAUCAUGAAUUUGCAGUGGACGAUCUCUUAUAGGCAUACUCUUCGUGAAGAUAAUGCAUGCGCGAACUGGCUUGUCAAAUACGGUGCAAUGCAUGAAAAUGCCUUUGUCAAUAGGAAUGUUUGCCCAACUCAGUUAACCCCUUUUAUAUUGGCUGACCCAAUGGGUGUAGUUCACAUUUGAUACUAAUCUCUCUUGUUUCUGCUUUCUUUUUUAGAUGUAUGCAAAAUUUAAAAUAUAUACAAGAUCUGGAAGCUUCUUUAUCACGAGUAAGAUUAAUCAUUUAGGAUGAUAGUUAAUUCAUUAAUUAUACUGUUAUUUAAUUGGUUAUUAUCUGUUAAACUAAAUUUUUGUGCCAAUGGAUAUUACAUUUGAGCUGGAUCUUUUAAGUUAGUUAAACUAUAUAUAUGAUCCAGAACAAAUUAUAAUGUUUUUCAUUGACUGUCCGCAUCUAUUUAUACUGGGUCAUAUAUAACUUACUAUUUGAAUACUUACAAUUGAACAAUUGAUAGAUGAUUGCUUAUAGUUAAAAAUAUAACAAAACAAAAGAGUUAUCAUGCAAACCAUAACGAGUUGUGCGAAAUAUUGACUCAUUGGUGAUCUUACCCGCUUUUAUAUUAUUGACAGUGUCCUAUUUUAUAUUUUUAUUACUUUUUUUAAAACAUAUUUUCCAUAGGUUAUUUUUAAUUUAUUAUCUAAAAUUUAUUUUUGAUAUUAAUUAUAAUUAAUUUUAUUCUGUUAAAAUCAAACCUAAUUACCCAUAUAUUAUUUUUUAUUAUUUAAACUAUUUAAAAAAUUCAAUUCUUUAUUUUUUUAAUGGAAAACAACUUCUCACCACCGUCCAACCGCGCCACCACCUCCGUCAAACUUGUGUCCUUUCGCCUCGCCUUCCGUCCUCCAAACCUUAAUCCUCCCAUCCGCGGAUGCCAUGUAAACGGUGCCGUCGCCGUUAACGGUGGAAGGAGAAGGGCGGUCCUCGAGCCACGUCACCUGCGCGACCAGGUAGGGUUUGGUGCAGACAACGCUCUCCGGUUUCUUCGUUCUCAGAAAACUCAGAUCUAAGCCUCAGAUCUAAGAAGACGACACUGUUGUUCCUCCCAACCCCAAAAUCUCAGACUCCUCCGAUGCUUCCUCAAAUUGAACUUCCAAGGUUGACCCAUUUCACCCUUUUGCCUCAAUUUCACAAAAUCGUUCGUUUUUUCUAAUAACCCUAAUUUUUAUGGUGCACUCGUGCCCGUGUUUCCCGACGGCGACGACCCAGAAGAGAAACGUGUUGCUGAUGACGAACGUCGGUGGCGCAUGAAGGCGGUCGAAGAGGUGCUAGAGCUGGGUCUCCAUCUUUGUCAUGACGGCUUCAACGACGUCGUCGUUUAAGGUGUCUGCGGAGUUGUUAGAUGAAUCUUCAUGAAUAACAGACCCAACAACAGAGUGAUCUGAGCGCGAACGCGGCAGUGAGAUUCCUCGGAGGUUCGCGGUGGUUUCGCAUUGCGGUGAGUUUCAUUGUGGAUCGUGGUGAUGUUGCGGUGGUUCGUGGUGCUUUCGUUUUGUUGGCCUUUGGUUUUGCCACAUUGGUGGGUGCUGCGGGUUUCACUUUGGUUCAAGUUUCGAUUUUCUUUUUAUUCAAAUACAGAUUUGUUUAUUGAAGACUCGUGUUGUACAUUUAGAUUAUAUUGAAACAUAACAAAUAUACAUAAAUAACAAAAAGUAAAUUUUAAGUAAUAAAUUAAUAAUAAUUUAUUUUUUUAGAUAUGAUAAAUAUUUUAAAGUUUUCUUUUAAAGUAGAUUUAUGUUUUUUUCAGUUAAUAGAAGCUAACUGAUAUAUAUAGAAAAUCGGUAGUCUUUGACCCAAAAUUAUGAUAAAUUAUUGAUUUUUAUAAAAUUAUCUUAAAAAUCAUAAAAUUAAUAAUUUAUAAUUAAAUGAUAAUAUAUAUAUAAAACGAUUUUAUAUGAUCAUUUUGAGUCUCAGGGUUAAACUCUUGUUAUUUUUGUUCAUAAUAUAUAUACAUGAUGGGAGUUUGAAUUUGUUUAAUAUUAUGAUAUUGCACUAUUUCGAUUGGGGUAAUUAUCCUGAAAUCCUAAUUUUUCCUUAACCAAAAUAAAUUAAUAAUAAUUACAUCUAGUGUGAAUAUGGAGAUCAACCUGCUUAAAUAUCGGAAUAUAUAUAAAAUUUAAGGGACAUGAGGUUAAUAUUCGGCUAGUAAGUCUCCAUGCACCUAUCACGCCCAAUCCUUAUUGGAUUGGACUUGGUGCGUGUCGCAACGGAAACGAAGACGAGGUCCCAAGGUCAGAACCUGCUCUGAUACCAUGUUAGAUUUCAUGUUAAAACCAAUUGGCAUUAAGUGAAGUUGCCCAACAGAUAUAUAAGCCGUACUCCAAAGAUUGAGACAGUCGAUGUGGGACUUUGGUUAUUUCCCAAUAGAUUAUUGCUGUCUCAGAACUGUGAUAUGAAAUUGUUGAGAGAAUAUUAAUAAGGAUGGGUGUAUCUAGAAGCUUUGUUUAGUACGAGGCGGCAAAUAUCUUUCACCAGAAUAAUAUUGUUCGACUUAAAAUAUCUUUAUUACAGGUGACAAUUUUUUUAAAUAUUUAAUCUCAAACUGUAUAUUUAAAGUUUAAAUUUAAAACUAUUAGUUAAAUUGAAAGCUUAAUUAAGGAGAGAGUUUUAGAAGAAAUAAAGUAUAAUGCUAUAAGGAGAAAGAAUGGAUUUUGAAAUGUAGGUAAAACACUUUUUAUUAUUACACAAACAUAUAGUGUGUUCAGUUUUCUAAAAAUGAACCAUCCAAAGCUUAAUUAACAUUAAUAUACUGAACAUAUAAUACUUAUUUGAUAUAUAUAACAAUUAAUAACAUAUAUAUAUAUAUAUAUAUAUAUAUAUAUAUAUAUAUAUAUAUAUAUAUAUAUAUAUAUAUAUAUAUAUUAGUUUAGCUAAAAUGGUUGUAAUGUAAGGUAUAUUCUCUAUCUGUUUAUUUAUUUAUUUUACUUAUCCACUUUUAAUUUUUAAUUUAAAAGACUAAGAUAAUAUUAAUUAUUUUUCAAUUAUAUCCUUUUCGUAUCUUACAUAUAUAUUACUAUUUAAGAAAUAAAAGUGAAAAUGUUUCAUAAGAAACAUAAUAUUUACGCAGCCAACUCCAUGAAAAAAUUUGAUACAAAAUUUAUUUAUUGAUUUGUUAACUAAUGUACUCACCAUAAUGUUUAAAAAUAUAUAUGUUUGACGUUUAGAGAGUUAUCUGAUAUUUAUAAAAACAAACAAAGCAGCGAAACAUUGAAUUUAUAAUAUUUUUUAUUUUAAAAAAUAAAAAAUUAUCAUCCAUUGAAAUAUAUAUAAUUUCACUGUCAAAGACUAAGAAAGGCAAAGAAGAAGAGUUGUAGCAGAGUGAGUGAGCCAGAAAAAAGGAGAGGAAAGAUAUCUAAAUGCGUAGGGUUGAGGAGGAGCCAACGAAUCCCGAACUCAAUCUGUAGGAUUCCAACACAAUAUUUGAGGAGGAUUUAUUCGCGCAUGUGAUUUAUAAUUGAAAGAUUCCCUCUGCAGCUCUCAAAACCACUAACCCUAAUAGCUGAACUCCAAAGAGAUAAAAUAACAGCAAGUGGCCCUCAUCAAUUCUAAGUAUAUAUUAAAUCAUUGCCGCCAUCACUUCUUCUCCAUACUCUUGUCUCACUCUAACAGCCAAAGCAUGGCUUCUCUCUCUUGCUCCGCCAACGACCUUGCCCCACUCAUCAACGACACCGCCGCCGCCAACUACCUCUGCGCACAAUUCGAUUCCAUUUCUAGAAAGCUCGUCGAAACAACCUACGCCGUCGACAACACCUACCUUCUGUUUUCAGCGUAUCUUGUCUUCGCCAUGCAGCUCGGCUUCGCCAUGCUCUGCGCCGGCUCCGUCAGAGCCAAAAACACCAUGAACAUCAUGCUCACCAACGUCCUCGACGCCGUCGCCGGCGGUCUCUCCUACUACCUAUUCGGCUUUGCAUUCGCCUUCGGCGGCCCCUCCAACGGCUUCAUCGGCCGCCCAAACUUCCGCCUACGAGAUUACCCGAUGGGCUCCUCUAUCUCCAGCUUCUUCCUCUACCAGUUGGUCUUAGCCAUCGCCGACGCAGGAAUCACCAUCUCUCCCUUCGGCGACUACAGCUUCUUCCUCUACCAGUGGGCCUUCGCCAUCGCCGCCGCAGGAAUCACCAGCGGCUCCAUCGCCGAGAGAACACAGUUCGUGGCUUACCUUAUCUACUCUUCUUUCUUAACCGGUUUCGUUUACCCCAUCGUUUCGCAUUGGUUCUGGUCCUCAGACGGUUGGGCCAGCGCGACUCGUAGCCACGGAAAUGUUUUAUUCGGGUCUGGAGUCAUCGACUUCGCGGGCUCAGGCGUUGUUCACAUGGUUGGCGGGAUAGCGGGCCUGUGGGGGGCUUUAAUUGAAGGCCCGAGAAUCGGCCGGUUCGACCGUUCGGGCCGGUCGGUUGCUUUACGUGGCCACAGCGCGUCUUUAGUUGUGCUUGGUACGUUUUUGUUAUGGUUCGGCUGGUACGGCUUCAACCCUGGUUCGUUUGUGACAAUAGACAAGGGGUAUGAAAGUGGAGGGUAUUAUGGUCAAUGGAGCGCUAUAGGGAGGACAGCUGUCACGACGACAUUGGCUGGGAGCACUGCGGCUCUGACGACGUUGUUCAGCAAGCGGUUAUUGGUUGGCCACUGGAACGUGAUUGACGUGUGUAACGGCCUGCUUGGCGGGUUCGCUGCCAUUACAUCGGGCUGUGCCGUUGUGGAACCGUGGGCCGCGAUUGUCUGCGGGUUUGUGGCGGCGUGGGUUUUGAUUUGGCUUAAUAAGCUUGCCGCGAAGGUAGAGUACGAUGAUCCGUUGGAGGCGGCGCAGCUUCACGGCGGGUGCGGAGCUUGGGGGGUUUUCUUCACGGGAUUGUUUGCGAAGAAAGUGUACGUGGAGGAGAUUUACGGUGUUGGAAGGCCGUUCGGGGCUUUGAUGGGUGGCGGAGGGAGGCUGCUGGCGGCGCAGGUGAUUCAGAUAUUGGUGGUGUGCGGGUGGGUUACGGCGACCAUGGCGCCGUUGUUCUAUGGGCUUCAUAAGAUGAAACUGUUGAGAAUUUCGAGGGAUGAUGAGACUGCGGGGAUGGAUUUGACGAGGCAUGGUGGGUUUGCUUAUGCAUACCAUGAUGAUGAAGAUGGUUCAAGCAGGGGAGUAGGAUUCAUGAUGCUUAGAAUUGAGCCUGCUGGUACCUCUCCCUCUCCCCCCGCUGCACCACAAGUUUAAUCAAAAUGUGGUUUAUGAUUUUCAAGCGUUUUUUAGUUUCGUACCUGCACAUAGCUAUGGGCAAAGCUAGCCUAGUCAAAACCAUAUACAAGCAAGACACGAGGGAUGCAUAUAUGUAGUAUAAAAAUUAAUGCGUGGGGGUCAACAUUUAGGAAAUGUCUUCUAGAGUUACUGUACAUUUUAAAAUGUUUGUUGGCUUGGUUUAUUAUUUUCAUCUUUGAAUUCCAAGACUAGUUUGGUCGACUGUUGUCACGUUAGUUUGUAUCCUGCUGCAGAAUAACUUGCUUGUAAUUGUAUACUGAUUAGUUGGUAUAUAGUGAUAUAUUAUAUAUACUAAAUGCAUUAAUGCAGGUUAUGAUUUUGCUAAUCUUGUGAUAUUAGUGUUUCAACAUACAUUUUUUUCUUUUGAUAAAAUAAAUAUCAUAGCUGAAGGUCAAGUACCAUCCAUCUCAGCUUGGUAUCUUGAAAUAUGUUCUCAGAGAAUAAGAUACUUCAUCAUAACAGAAGACCGACAGUGUAGGAGCAUCAAAAGCAAAUAAAUAUAAUUUAAUAUUUGAAUAGUAUUGUACAUGAAAAUCUUAUGGCCUAACUAUGGAAACUUCAUAAAAAAUAUAUUUGUUUUGUGGUUUUGAAGUUCAUUGUGCUUCCAAUACAUGCAUAUUUGUACACUUCAAUAUUAAUUCUCGCAAGUAAAUAAUAAGGAGUAUAGGAUAAUAGGAACCUAAUUCAUAUUUUUUCACGAUCUUGGUGAGAAAUAAAAAACAAUGCAUACAGUUUUAUCUCAACAGUCAACAACUCAUCAACGUGACAAAUCUUUUAUCGCUUAGAGCUUUAUUUGUAUAGUUGUAAAGUUCAUAACAUCAUUUGAGAAAGCAAGACUGAAAUUAAUCAAGAGAAAGGAGAAGUUAAAAAUUUAUUUUAUAUUGACAGACAGACAUUUGCAUGUUAUCAUCAUUAUUUUUCUGGCUAACCAAUUAAUUAAUAAACCAGAAUCUAAAUCGGAUAAUAUAUAUUGAUGAACAGAAUUUCUUACACGCCAUUUUUUUUCUACACACUUUUUUUUUUGUUAAAGUAAAAAGUAAGGAGAGUGUAUUAAAAAGAAAUUAAAUGUGUAAGUAUUAAUUAUUUUAUUAAGAGAAAAUUAUUCAAAGAAAACUCUAUACAAAGCCGUGGUUUAAAAUGUACGUAGCAUUAUGAAUUAGGUUACACACACAUAUUCCUACAGUUUUUCAGAAGAAAUGUUUUAAUAAGUUACAUGCUUGCAAAUAUUUUAACACACACAUAUAUGGAGGAUGCUUAAAAUUGUUCCAUUAUUUUAAAUUAACUCCUUAUAUACAUAUAUUUUUAAUUUUUUCAUGUUACCUUAAACCCUAAACCCUAUAAAAAAACUAAGAUUUUUAUCUCUUAUAUUUUUUCUCAACUAUUACAUUUGUUCAACACAUCAGGGUACGUAUCCUGGCAAUGUAGCAAGACUAUAAGCUGGGGCAAGCAUAGAAAAGGAGUAAUGUUAGUUAAGAAAUUAAUAAGACACUAAUAUUAUUUAGAAUUUCAAGUUAUUUUUAACAAGGAGAUUCAAGUGUGUAUUUUUAACUAGUUUAAAAUAAAAAAAUGGAGGAGGCUCACUCACGCCAUUCUUGUGGACCUCAACCUUCCAGUCAAGUUCCUUCGAAAAGCUUGAGAUGACAGACCACCCAAUAGCCUCAUGUCAUAAUUAAUCAUUCAAUCAAUUAAGUUAAUGUUGAUCUUGGAGAGCUUCCAACGAGUUAUGUAAUGAAUAUCAUUUUUUUUAAGCAUAUGUAAUUGUGGGGGGAUGUGCAAAAUAAUUUAUUUUCAUGUAAUGAGUGUAUUCCCAUGAUUUCAGCUUGUCAAUAACUGUUUUGUGAUAGCAACUUUGAUGACUCCUUCCCCCAUUUAUACUAGGCAAGGGAUAGUCAGUAGCCAUCUUCAUCAUUAGCUCUUAGGCUGGAUUAGAUCAAAUCACCUCUAAUUUCUUAUCAUUGUUUCAUCCGUUGAAUUGGGAAAUAUAGUUAUCCAUAAUUAUCUAUAUGUUUAUAUCCAAUCUUAUAAAAAAAGGGAAUGAUAAAUUAUAAUUUGAGUGAUAUUUUAUAUGAAUUUUUAUGUUAUUUUAUGUAUUUUUUUUAUACAAAAUUUACAUUUGGACUUUAAUUUUUUACUUUGCAAAAAUAUAAUCAUUCAAUCAAGUGAAAAAAUUGAAAAAUACAUAAUUUUAUGAAGAUUUGAUGUUAUUUUUACUUGAUAACGGCCAUGGUACAUUGACCACAGUCAUGGUCAUCCAAGAAGAUCACGAUAAAUCAUGAGGGUCUUUAUCAUUUCAUAAUAACUCAAGCUUCGAUGUAUGAAAAUGUAAAGGAUUUUUUUUAUCUCUUUUAUUUUUAUAAUGCAAUAUUGUAUAUUGUUUAGUUAUUCUAUGGCUAUGGUUGGUUAAACCUCUUAGAACUUGGAUUGUGAUGUAGUUGUAUCCAUGUAUUCUAAUUCUUAUUUUUAAUAAAGUUCUUCGAUGUUAUUCAAUUAAUUGUAUCCUUCUAUCAUUUUCACUUCUACAUUAGAAUUGGUCACUUUAAUUAAUUAUUAGUUAAUUGUGUAUUUUUUACUAUCUUCUCAUAAUUAAUUGACUUAUAGAAUGAUAGAGUUCAUAAAGCUUGCAUGAUCAAGUGACAACAUGAAUCUCCUUUUUACAAACUUAUCUGUUAUUCAUUCUUAACCUUAAGUUAAAUCUGAUAUGAACAAUGUAAGAUUGAUUUAGGGGAAGAGUAUUCUCAUACCUUGACCAUAUGCUAAUAAUUAAAAUAAUAGAUAAGAUAGUUAAUAGGCAACUAGGAAUUCUUAAUUAAAAUAUGAAUUAGGAAAAAUGAUACAUGUAAAAUCAUAAUUAAGUCACUCUUAUUCAUACAUAUCUUUUAUCUGUUGCUUGUCUUUGUUUUUUUUAUUUUCUUGAUUGUAAACACAAAUAAUCUCCAACUCAAGAUAAAAACUCCAAAUUAUUUAGUUUAUACGAUUUAGAUUAUUUAAAAAUAUAAAUAAUCUCUAGGAUAUGAUAUCCUAACUUUUGAGUCUACAGUUGUUACUCCAUAAGAUACACUUAUCCUCAAGGCCUCAACUAAUAUGUAUUUAAACUAAUAAUUAAUAAGAAUAUAAUUAAAUAAAUUUUUAUUUUCAUGUAUUCCAAGGAAUAUGUUAGUGAAGUAAAAGAUUAGAUUAAUUUAAAAUGUUAUAAAAAAAAUUUAAUUUAAUAAUAAAUUUUGCAUAACACAUAUAUAUAUAUAUAUAUAUAUAUAUAUAUAUACAUACACGUAGAGUGAUGUUCAAGAGAAUGCUGUGUUAAAUUAAUAUAAGAAAUGAUGAAAAUUCAACAAACUUGUUAAUGGGUAUUUUCUUCUCCAUUGAUAUUGAAAACAGGACUACUCCCUACGAUAAGGGACUGGUCCAUUCCGCGAGCUCUCAAUCUCACUGACGGUAGUCGAUCAGCAAAUUGCUUUAUGCAUUUCCUGAAUUGUUAAUGGAAAAUGCUGGAAGCAAUUUCAAAAGUGCAGGAAAAAAGAAAAAAACACGUGAAUGUAUAGACGUGUUUUAAUAACCUAUUAAUUUCUCAAUAUAUUCUUUUUAACAAUCUUUUUAAUACUUGAAAAAAUUGUAUAAGUUUCACUAAUUAAUAAAUGAUAUUCAUUAAAUAAAGACAAAUUUCAUCCAUACUUUGUUGCUACCGUUUCACAUGUUACCAGUAGGUGUGCCAUGAUCUACAAAUAAUGUUAAUCACACACUCUAUUCGUGACUCACAUGUAAAUUUUACCCAGAAGAAGAUUCAAAAGAAGCAUUCUUCGUCCAAUACAAUAUUCCUUAAAUAAUUAAAUUUAAGUGAACAAAAAAAUUAUUGGGUUUUUUUUUCUAAAAAUUUUGGUGUAUAAUACAAUUUUUUUUGCACAAAAAAUUAUUGGGGUUUUUUCUAAAUUUUUUGGUAUAUAAUACUAAUGCAUCUGAACUAAAAAGUUUGUAUAUUAUCACUCUCUCUUAAGAAAAAAAUUAUGAGAAUAAAAAGAAAUAGAUAUGCGUAAAAUUUCAGACAUCAUAUUUAGCCGGUCAAAACUAGCCAUUUCCAAUCGUGUUUUUUUGCAUUCAUAUAUAUGCAAAUUCCUUAUUUAUUGUUGACUACAACUCAAAAUUUCCUUUUCCGGCCCUUUCAUCGAUCGAAACAAACAAAACAGUGGAAGUGGUAGAAACAAGAAUGGAAAUAUAUAGCACAAUAUUAAUUCUAUAAUUACGUACAAUGAAAGAAUGAAACAUUUAGAGUAGAAGGAUUGUUUGAAACUGAAGUACAUUGAUAUAUAUACGUUGUAUAUAGUUUAUAAUCAGGGGCACUGAGGAUUGUUCCCAGGCCCACCAUAGUAGAAGUAAGUGCCCCAUUCGUUGCUGUAGUAGCUCUUGAUGUCGUAACAGUUAGUGUUUUCGGCCAAGGUUGAGAUGCUCUGCACAGAACUCAAACUGUUAUCCGUGUCUACGAUCUGAAGGUUCCGGAAGUAGCUUGCUUUUCCGAAACCAUCCUCGGCGAAGUGU